CCCGGGCUGCGUUCGGACCCCUGUCGGAGAGUAAAUCCGAAAAAAACAAACAAAGACAUGGAUUUACUGUGCAUAUUAGCAGAUCCAUACUGGAAAAUGCAUGGAGGUUUCAUAUACACCACUUACAGUAAGUAAUAACUCAGAGUAUAAAGUCGAAAAGAAAGAAUCUGAAAUAUUAGACUUGUUCUGAAAUAAGCUUACCUAGGAUGAUACCACUUUCACUUAAUCAGGAUUUCCCAACUAUUUAACAGUGGCAAAUAUAAAAAAUCUGGUAGUUAAAAUACACAGCAGUCACUUCAUAUUACUGCCUCCCUCAACCCACUCAACUUCUGAAGAACAGGGCUUUUUCAAGUUUUGUUCCCCUUUAAGUUUUAAUAGAAAAAAAAAAAAAGUUUUAAGUCAUGUUGUACCAAUAUAUCCCCAGCAAGAAUUGCAAUUUACCAAGGUUUUCACGUGUUUUGAGAGAAAUCUUACUGAAAGACUAGUGAUGUCCAUUUUCCAGUAAAUACUGAGCGAAAAACAAUUUUUAUACCCCAAUCUGAGGUAUAAACUUGCUUUUUGUGGGAUCACAACUGCUGUAAAUUAGACAGUUGUAGCAACAAUCCAAGACAAUAACAGAAUGCCUAUGACAGUCUGCCAUAUUCUGGUGAGUGUCUAUCAAAGCUCAUCAUGAUUUUUUGUGAGAUCUUCCCCGUAAUUGGUAGCUUGGCUUCCAACAAACAUGUUCCAGUUCUCCAAUAUUUCCUCUUUAGUUAGCUUCUCAUCCUUGUUUUUGUCUGACUCAUAUACCAGAUGCCUGGCCUCAGCCUGUGCAUGAUCAUAAUCUUGAGGGAGGAUCCAGUGGCGAAUCUCAUCUUUGUCUAACUUCCCGUCCUUGUUCAGAUCCCGGAAUUCGUUAAACUGCUCCCGUUCUGAUAAAACCCAGUCUGGCUCAGGGCCAUUCUCCUCAUGGGAAAACAUAUCCGCAAUAUACUCAUCCUGAUCCACAAACCCAUCCCCGUUCUUGUCGAUGUCCUCCAGGGUUUCCAAAGCCACAAUUUCCUUCAUAUGUUCAAACUCUUCAGGAUGCAGAAAGGCAGUGAACUCCUCCGGAGUAGCUGUCAGGUCACCAUUGAGGUCUGCAGCUUUGAAUCUUCUCUCAUCACGUGGCAGCAUCUUUUUAAAGGUGUGAUGAUCUGAAGAAUCAUGAAACUCUGCGGGGUUUCCUAGGUUUUCAGCUCCUCAGUAGUGACAAAGCCAUACCCAUCAUUGUCGAUUCGAUCAACAAUCUUCCCUAGCCUCUCCUUGCUCUCGUCCGGGGUGAGCUCGUCGAAGUUCUUGGAGUCCUCCUUGCCCAGGAAGGCCUCGUGGUCGUACUGGAAGCUCUGGUUGUCCUCAGGGGGCCGCUCGCCCAGCUCCGAGUCGGGCCGCACCACGCGCUCUUUGCGCACCGUGGGCUUGGCCCGCAGAACCCGCGGCGCCAGCACCAGCGCCAGCAGCAGCCCCAGGGCUAACCCCAGGCGGCCACCG
rnacentral:lncRNA from 1 species